UCGUUCGCCCGAGAAGAAGACGCAUUCCUACUGUGCUCACCGGUGGCUCAUCUAGCCGUCCCAUGAACCUUUUCCCGAAUGAAAGAUCAAGAAGCAUCUUCGCCUUGCUUGAUGGGUAUGAUGAUCGGUCUGAUAAUGGUCCGCCACCAUCACUAGAUUCCCAUAUGGAAAUGAACACUGACGACGUUCCUGUCGUUAAUGUCCAAGACUCCAGUGAUGGGGAAGGUACCGACGAAGCUACUUCCCGUCCGGGCUAUUGCAAGAUAUGCAUUAUGGAGAGCAAGAAAGUAAAGACUCAUGGCGAAGCUAGUAACCAAAUCAGGAAUGAGACACCUCUAAAGUGUGUUAUUUGCUUCUCCGCAACUACUGAAGGGGGCACCCACCAUCCCCAGUAUGUUUCUUUACCAUUUAUCACCAACCUCUAUUUUUUUAUUUGCUGGUUUAAUCUGCUUCCAUCUUUGAUGUGUGUGGAUGUUGUCAUUUAGUGCCAUGAGGUGUGGUCAUAUCUUUGGGAAGAGCUGCAUCGAUUCAUGGAUUGGUGCGAAGAUGCCGUCGACCGUAAGCCCAUGUUUGUUCUUUUGGGUGAAUGUUUAUUUUUUUCAUUUUUUUUUCAUGCAUCUACGUUUUGCAUAUGUUUGCGUCGGCUGUAGUGUCCAGUGUGCACUCAAGUUUCGCAAGAUUCCAUGCUCAUCCAUCUGUUCGUAACAUCCGCGAUUCCCGACAUGCUGGAGAAUGCUUUGGAAAAGGCAGAUGGGGUGAACCAACUCAAGAUGAAACACUGUGCUGAAAAAGUGACGCUCAUCGGGCUGAACACCAUGCUAUUCAAAUGUGUGAAGAACUAUGUUGAAGCACUUGCAAUGGGUUGUGGAAUAUUGUCACCUGGCCCUUAGGUGGAAUGGGUUAUAUUUUGCUUUUGAUCGUGUUGCGGAGAAGAAGUAACUCAUGCCAAAUCCAUGCUCGCUGUUAGAUUUCCCAGAAAAUCUUUUUUGCUAUGCGUAUAAUGCAUAUGUUAGUUUCAUAGAUUUCGUGGAAAUCUUUUUCUUUUGAAAUUCCUUGUCGGAAUAUUAGCAUGGACAACUAUUUUGUA